rnacentral:rRNA from 1 species
UACGUAGGGGGCAAGCGUUGUCCGGAAUCAUUGGGCGUAAAGGGCUCGUAGGUGGCCAACUAAGUCAGACGUGAAAUCCCUCAGCUUAACUGGGGAACUGCGUCUGAUACUGGAUGGCUUGAGUUUGGGAGAGGGAUGCGGAAUUCCAGGUGUAGCGGUGAAAUGCGUAGAUAUCUGGAGGAACACCGGUGGCGAAGGCGGCAUCCUGGACCAACACUGACACUGAUGAGCGAAAGCCAGGGGAGCAA